GGACAGCUGAGCUUUAUUUUGCUUCCCUUGACACCACUAGUGCAGUUGGACUUGACGUCUAGCAACGCAACAUCCCAGACUUUAAACAACCAGCCACGGCGGCUCUGCAUGUGAGUCCACUGCAUUUACAGUGGGACGUGAAAGCGAUCUAUGAGUGUACAUCUUGACUGACUGCCUACUGGGUCUUUCUCAUGCUGGAGAUGAGGAAAGAAUAUGUAUUUCAACAGGUUAUCUGCUACAGCUGAGGAGCCAGCGUGAGGGUGCCGGAGUAGCUUGUACUGAGCUUUGGACUGCAGCUGCAGCACCUAAUUCAUCAGAGGAAGAAAAAAAGGGUUGGGAGAAAGAAGUGGAGACAUCAUGUUGGCUAGUGCUGAGCAUAAGCGACAAGCUUAAAGAGAGUUCAGAUCAACCAUCUUCCUAAACUAUCCAUCUUUGUCAUCUAUCUCCCCCCAAACACACUGUCAGUAGACAGCUAAACUCUUUAUUCAGACCAGUUAACCCAGCAUCAGUUAAACGAACAAGAGUGACGACACAAGCUGUUACUGAGCAGAGGAGGGACACUCACCCGCUGCAGGGUUUGAUAGACAGCCACCUUUAAAUCAAACACAUGGGCUGUUGAUGAAGAAAGAUGGCAGCGAGAUUGGCAGGUGCCACCUCUUCCUCUCGACCACCCUCCCUCCCCCCAACGGCUACUGCUCGGGCCAGUUAAGGUUGGUCUUUUGGCAUUCAUCACAGCAUCUGCAGCAGCUGGAGGAGCGUGGGAAGGAGCAGUAUGCAGGAAACUGAUUUACCGGCCACAAAUGCCUUCAAAGAGUGCAAGUUCCACUGCACCAAUGGGAAUUGCUUGCGUCUGGGCUCGCUGAUCUGCAACCAGCUGAAUAACUGUGGGGACAACAGCGAUGAGGAGAACUGCCCCGUGGUCACCCAGCACCCUCCACCGGGCAUCUUCAGCUGUGAGUGCUGCAGGAUGCAGUUACACCUCCGUUCUUCUCUGUGUGUCAUCUCACACCAGCAAAGUACACUAUACCUGCUUUUCAUUCUUCCUUCAUCCCCCUCUUUACAGUCUUCACUGAGCAGAUAAAAUGAGGAUACUUUCUGGUGUUCAUGGAGAACUUUUCAUGCAGUGUAUACCACAUUUUACCAGACUUGAAAUGUGCUGCUUUUCAUUGACCUUGUGAAGGUCACCUGCUUCUCUAAAAGCAUAGACGAGAUUGUAUUCUGAGAUGGUUUCCAUUCCUUUAGACAGAGGGCAGUGAUUUCUGAAGGAUUUGAGUCUAAAAUGCUUGCAAGCAUUGUUGUUUUACUCAAUUUUAUAAAUGUCUGGAUUAAUUUGCAUUUCCUGAGCAGCAGCUGUUCCAGUGCUUUGCUUGUUUUUGCAAAAGAUGCCUUCAGGACUA